UCCGGUUGAUCCUGCCGAAGGCUACUGCUAUUGGAGUUCGAUUAAGCCAUGCGAGUCUAAGGGAUACUUGUAUCCCUGGCAUAAUGCUCAGUAACACGUGGAUAAUCUGCCCUCAGGUGAGGAAUAAACCCGGGAAACUGGGGCUAAUACCUCAUAGACACAGAAAGCUGGAAUGCUUCUGUGUUCAAAGCUCCGGCGCCUGAGGAUGAGUCUGCGGCCUAUCAGGUUGUAGUCAGGGUCAUGACCUGACUAGCCAACGACGGGUACGGGGUGUGAGAGCACUUGCCCGGAGAUGGUUUCUGAGACACGAAACCAGGCCCUACGGGGCGCAGCAGGCGCGAAAACUUCGCAAUGCGGGAAACCGUGACGAGGGAACUCCAAGUGUCUAUGCAUUGCAUAGACUGUUUUUUAGCCUAAAUAGCUAAAAGAGUAAGAGGUGGGCAAGACCGGUGCCAGCCGCCGCGGUAACACCGGCACCUCGAGUGGUAGCCACUAUUAUUGGGCCUAAAGCGUUCGUAGCCGGUUUGGUAAAUUCUUGGGUAAAUCGUACAGCUUAACUGUGCGGAUUCCGGGGACACUACCAGACUUGAGACCGGGAGAGAUCAGAGGUACUUGUAGGGGAGCGGUGAAAUGUUGUAAUCCUACAGGGACCACCAGUGGCGAAGGCGUCUGAUCAUAACGGCUUUGACGGUGAGGAACGAAACCCUGGGGCGCAAACGGGAUUAGAUACCCCGGUAGUCCAGGGCGUAAACGCUGCUGACUUGGUGUUGGAGAUCCUACGAGGGUGUCCAGUGCUGGCGCGAAGGCAUUUAGUCAGCCGCCUGGGGAGUACGGUCGCAAGACUGAAACUUAAAGGAAUUGGCGGGGGAGCACCGCAACCUGAGGAUUGUGCGGUUUAAUUGGAUUCAACGCCG
rnacentral:rRNA from 1 species